GGGAGCGAAUGUCCUGCGGUCAGGGUCGCGGUCUUCAAAACCGUUGGUGGGUAUCCUUCGAUGCUUAUGGUGGUUCGACUCCCCUCGCUCCCGCCA
rnacentral:tRNA from 1 species